rnacentral:rRNA from 1 species
AACGAACGCUGGCGGCAGGCUUAACACGUGCAAGUCGAGCGCCCCCGCAAGGGGGAGCGGCAGACGGGUGAGUAACGCGUGGGAACGUACCCUUUGCUACGGAAUAGCUCCGGGAAACUGGAAUUAAUACCGUAUGUGCCCUUCGGGGGAAAGAUUUAUCGGCAAAGGAUCGGCCCGCGUCUGAUUAGCUAGUUGGUGAGGUAACGGCUCGCCAAGGCGACGAUCAGUAGCUGGUCUGAGAGGAUGAUCAGCCACACUGGGACUGAGACACGGCCCAGACUCCUACGGGAGGCAGCAGUGGGGAAUAUUGGACAAUGGGGGCAACCCUGAUCCAGCCAUGCCGCGUGAGUGAUGAAGGCCUUAGGGUUGUAAAGCUCUUUCGUCAGGGAAGAUAAUGACGGUACCUGAAGAAGAAGCCCCGGCUAACUUCGUGCCAGCCGCCGCCGUAAGAC